rnacentral:rRNA from 1 species
UACGUAGGGUGCAAGCGUUGUCCGGAAUUAUUGGGCGUAAAGAGCUCGUAGGCGGCCUGUCGCGUCGGCUGUGAAAACCUGGGGCUCAACCCCGGGCCUGCAGCCGAUACGGGCAGGCUAGAAUUCGGUAGGGGAGACUGGAAUUCCUGGUGUAGCGGUGAAAUGCGCAGAUAUCAGGAGGAACACCGGUGGCGAAGGCGGGUCGCUGGGCCGAUAUUGACGCUGAGGAGCGAAAGCGUGGGGAGCAAACAGG